UACGUAGGGUGCAAGCGUUAAUCGGAAUUACUGGGCGUAAAGCGUGCGCAGGCGGUUUGCUAAGUCAGGUGUGAAAUCCCCGGGCUUAACCUGGGAACUGCGCUUGUAACUGGCAAGCUAGAGUGUGGCAGAGGGGGGUGGAAUUCCACGUGUAGCAGUGAAAUGCGUAGAGAUGUGGAGGAACACCGAUGGCGAAGGCAGCCCCCUGGGCUAACACUGACGCUCAUGCACGAAAGCGUGGGGAGCAAACAGG
rnacentral:rRNA from 1 species